AGAGUUUGAUCCUGGCUCAAGAUGAACGCUUUCGGCGUGCUUAACACAUGCAAGUCGAACGGGAAAUAUUUCAUUGACACUUCGGUGGAUUUGAUCUAUUUCUAGUGGCGGACGGGUGAGUAACGCGUGGGUAACCUGCCUUAUACAGGGGGAUAACAGUCAGAAAUGGCUGCUAAUACCGCAUAAGCGCACAGAGCUGCAUGGCUCAGUGUGAAAAACUCCGGUGGUAUAAGAUGGACCCGCGUUGGAUUAGCUUGUUGGUGGGGUAACGGCUCACCAAGGCGACGAUCCAUAGCCGGCCUGAGAGGGUGAACGGCCACAUUGGGACUGAGACACGGCCCAGACUCCUACGGGAGGCAGCAGUGGGGAAUAUUGCACAAUGGGGGGAACCCUGAUGCAGCGACGCCGCGUGAAGGAAGAAGUAUCUCGGUAUGUAAACUUCUAUCAGCAGGGAAGAUAGUGACGGUACCUGACUAAGAAGCCCCGGCUAACUACGUGCCAGCAGCCGCGGUAAUACGUAGGGGGCAAGCGUUAUCCGGAUUUACUGGGUGUAAAGGGAGCGUAGACGGUGUGGCAAGUCUGAUGUGAAAGGCAUGGGCUCAACCUGUGGACUGCAUUGGAAACUGUCAUACUUGAGUGCCGGAGGGGUAAGCGGAAUUCCUAGUGUAGCGGUGAAAUGCGUAGAUAUUAGGAGGAACACCAGUGGCGAAGGCGGCUUACUGGACGGUAACUGACGUUGAGGCUCGAAAGCGUGGGGAGCAAACAAGAUUAGAUUCCCUGGUAGUCCUCGCCGUACUCGACCUCAAAAGGGUGUCGGGGAGCAGAGCUCUUCGGUGCCGUCGCAAACGCAGUAAGUAUUCCACCUGGGGAGUACGUUCGCAAGAAUGAAAUUCAAAGGAAUUGACGGGGACCCGCACAAGCGGUGGAGCAUGUGGUUUAAUUCGAAGCAACGCGAAGAACCUUACCAAGUCCUGACAUCCCCCUGACCGGAACUUAACCGUUCCUUUCCUUCGGGACAGGGGAGACAGGUGGUGCAUGGUUGUCGUCAGCUCGUGUCGUGAGAUGUUGGGUUAAGUCCCGCAACGAGCGCAACCCCUAUCCUCAGUAGCCAGCAUUUAAGGUGGGCACUCUGGGGAGACUGCCAGGGAUAACCUGGAGGAAGGCGGGGAUGACGUCAAAUCAUCAUGCCCCUUAUGAUUUGGGCUACACACGUGCUACAAUGGCGUAAACAAAGGGAAGCGAGAGGGUGACCUGGAGCAAAUCCCAAAAAUAACGUCCCAGUUCGGACUGCAGUCUGCAACUCGACUGCACGAAGCUGGAAUCGCUAGUAAUCGCGGAUCAGAAUGCCGCGGUGAAUACGUUCCCGGGUCUUGCAC
rnacentral:rRNA from 1 species